UACGUAGGGUGCAAGCGUUGUCCGGAAUUAUUGGGCGUAAAGAGCUUGUAGGCGGUUUGUCGCGUCUGCUGUGAAAUUUCGGGGCUCAACCCCGAACUUGCAGUGGGUACGGGCAGACUAGAGUGUGGUAGGGGAGACUGGAAUUCCUGGUGUAGCGGUGAAAUGCGCAGAUAUCGGGAGGAACACCGAUGGCGAAGGCAGGUCUCUGGGCCAUAACUGACGCUGAGAAGCGAAAGCAUGGGGAGCGAACAGG
rnacentral:rRNA from 1 species